CAGCAGCCGCGGUAAUACGUAGGUGGCAAGCGUUGUCCGGAUUUACUGGGCGUAAAGCGCGCGCAGGCGGAUUGGUCAGUCCGGGGUGAAAUCUCACGGCUCAACUGCGAGCGGUCCCCGGAUACUGCCAGUCUCGAGGUGUCUAGAGGAGAGCGGAAUUCCCGGUGUAGUGGUGGAAUGCGUAGAUAUCGGGAAGAACACCAGUGGCGAAAGCGGCUCUCUGGGGACCACCUGACGCUGAGGCGCGAAAGCGUGGGGAGCGAACCGGAUUAGAUACCCGGGUAGUCCACGCCGUAAACGAUGAGCACUAGCUGUCGGGGGUAUCGACCCCCUCGGUAGCGCAGCUAACGCGAUAAGUGCUCCGCCUGGGGACUACGGCCGCAAGGCUAAAACUCAAAGGAAUUGACGG
rnacentral:rRNA from 1 species